rfam:Naematelia encephala strain 68-887.2 BCR39scaffold_1, whole genome shotgun sequence.
CUCACCUUAGCUCAGUUGGUAGAGCGAGGGAUUGUAAUUGGUGGCAAACGCUCGCUCCCUAGGUCGUGUGUUCGACUCACACAGGUGAGA